rnacentral:rRNA from 1 species
UGCAGUAGAACGCUGAAGAGAGGAGCUUGCUCUUCUUGGAUGAGUUGCGAACGGGUGAGUAACGCGUAGGUAACCUGCCUUGUAGCGGGGGAUAACUAUUGGAAACGAUAGCUAAUACCGCAUAACAAUGGAUGACACAUGUCAUUUAUUUGAAAGGGGCAAUUGCUCCACUACAAGAUGGACCUGCGUUGUAUUAGCUAGUAGGUGAGGUAAUGGCUCACCUAGGCGACGAUACAUAGCCGACCUGAGAGGGUGAUCGGCCACACUGGGACUGAGACACGGCCCAGACUCCUACGGGAGGCAGCAGUAGGGAAUCUUCGGCAAUGGGGGCAACCCUGACCGAGCAACGCCGCGUGAGUGAAGAAGGUUUUCGGAUCGUAAAGCUCUGUUGUAAGUCAAGAACGGGUGUGAGAGUGGAAAGUUCACACUGUGACGGUAGCUUACCAGAAAGGGACGGCUAACUACGUGCCAGCAGCCGCGGUAAUACGUAGGUCCCGAGCGUUGUCCGGAUUUAUUGGGCGUAAAGCGAGCGCAGGCGGUUUGAUAAGUCUGAAGUUAAAGGCUGUGGCUCAACCAUAGUUCGCUUUGGAAACUGUCAAACUUGAGUGCAGAAGGGGAGAGUGGAAUUCCAUGUGUAGCGGUGAAAUGCGUAGAUAUAUGGAGGAACACCGGUGGCGAAAGCGGCUCUCUGGUCUGUAACUGACGCUGAGGCUCGAAAGCGUGGGGAGCGAACAGGAUUAGAUACCCUGGUAGUCCACGCCGUAAACGAUGAGUGCUAGGUGUUGGAUCCUUUCCGGGAUUCAGUGCCGCAGCUAACGCAUUAAGCACUCCGCCUGGGGAGUACGACCGCAAGGUUGAAACUCAAAGGAAUUGACGGGGGCCCGCACAAGCGGUGGAGCAUGUGGUUUAAUUCGAAGCAACGCGAAGAACCUUACCAGGUCUUGACAUCCCGAUGCUAUUUCUAGAGAUAGAAAGUUACUUCGGUACAUCGGUGACAGGUGGUGCAUGGUUGUCGUCAGCUCGUGUCGUGAGAUGUUGGGUUAAGUCCCGCAACGAGCGCAACCCCUAUUGUUAGUUGCCAUCAUUCAGUUGGGCACUCUAGCGAGACUGCCGGUAAUAAACCGGAGGAAGGUGGGGAUGACGUCAAAUCAUCAUGCCCCUUAUGACCUGGGCUACACACGUGCUACAAUGGUUGGUACAACGAGUUGCGAGUCGGUGACGGCGAGCUAAUCUCUUAAAGCCAAUCUCAGUUCGGAUUGUAGGCUGCAACUCGCCUACAUGAAGUCGGAAUCGCUAGUAAUCGCGGAUCAGCACGCCGCGGUGAAUACGUUCCCGGGCCUUGUACACACCGCCCGUCACACCACGAGAGUUUGUAACACCCGAAGUCGGUGAGGUA